GGAGUGUAGCUCAGUGGUAGAGCACUAACCUAGCAUGCUUGAGAUCCUGGGUUCAGUCCCCAGUACCA
rnacentral:tRNA from 1 species